rnacentral:lncRNA from 1 species
AUAUUUUACAUUUGUAAGUUUCUUUUUCUUCUAUCUUCGUUGAUCGUUUCCAGUGCUUGCGAUUCCUUAGGUUUGUUUUUGUUCAAAAUAUUCAUUUCAUGUUUCUUUUGUCAGUCACAUUACAGGUAUAUCUUUAGUCUACAUUCCAGAAUUUUAGUUCUUUUGAUUUAGUUUCUGUUUUUGCUAUUGACAUCAUAUUCAAUUAUCUUAAUGUAUAUUUCAUUCCAAACACUUUUAUACAUGUUAGUUUAAAAUAUUUCUUUCAAAUUCAAUUUCACAUUGUAAAUUAUAUCCUGUCUAAUUUAAUUUAAAUUCUAUUUCAUAACUACAGAAUUUUAAAUUCAACAUUCUGUUUCAAUUUCAUUUUCCUUUUUUCAAUUCAAUUCUAUUGUUUGUUCAAUUUAAUUCAAUUCGUUUCAAUUAUAAUAAGAUCUAUAUGUUUACAAUUCUGUCUAGUUUCUUUUCAUUUGGUAAUGAUUUCAAUUCAAUUCUGUUAGUUUCAAUUCUUCAUUUAUCAAUACCUAGAUAACUCUAUCACUCAUUAGUACUCUUAAAUUCAUUUCUUGGCAAGCUCCCCAAGUCAACCUAACGGAAAGGUCCUCACUGGACCGUUGGUCACCCAUGUGAAUCAACUACUCGGAAAACUCUUGAUUUCUCAAAUAUUGUUGCUACUUCAUCUUUGUUUCAUAAAUGUGUUGCUUGCUUAGUUGGUAAAAGUUUUAAACUUCAUCUACCAUCUACAAAUUCUAAAUGUUAGGCUCCUUUAGACUUAAUCCAUAGUGAUGUUUGGGGGCCGGCACCUAUAUCAUCAGUUUUGGGUCAUUGAUAUUUUAUUGUGUUUCAUUGAUGAUUUUUCUAGAUAUAUUUGGUUAUAUCCUCUUAAAACCAAAUCUUGUGUGCUUCAAAUUUUUAUAACAUUUCAAAAAUUUGUAGAAAAUCAAGAUGCUUCAUUCCGAUUUCGGAGGAGAGUAUCAAUCCUUACUUCCUAUUCUUCAGGAUUUCGGAAUACUACAACAUCGUCGUUCAUGUCCUCACACAUCGGAACAGAGUGGUAAAUUAGAAAGAAAAAUUCGCCAUAUCGUCGAAAAUGGUUUGACACUUUUGUAUCAUUCUAACAUUCCUUUACACUUUUGGAAUUUUUGUUUUUCAAAUGUGGUAUAUAACAUCAAUAGAAUCACAUCCCAUACUCAUGGCAUCCCACCGUAUACAAAAUUAUUUGGCUAUAAACCUAAGUAUGAAUUUUUACGUGUUUUUGGGUGCACCGCCUUUCCACAUCUACAAGCUUAUAAUUCUAAUAAGUUCGCUUUUCGAUUUAUUCCUUGUGCUUUUCUUGGUUAUAGUAGUGAUCAUUUGGGCUAUAUUUGUUUUGACGAAACAACUAAAAAAUUCUUUGUAUCUAGACAUUGUCAUUUUCUAGAGGACAAACCUUUCUUUUCAAAAGUUGUUUCUCAGAUUCAACCUUCCGAUCCAGCCCAAAAUUCAAGUGUCUCAAUUUGGUUACCAUCACUUGAACAAUCCAGUCCGGCCCAAUUUGAUAUAUCUACUCAAUCUGAAUCAAUUUCCCAUAUUAAAGAAAUCCAGAAUUCAUCAUCAAGGUUGCAUCAAGUUCGAGUCCGGGUGUAGAUGAAAAAUUACAACAAUCAUCUCAAGAGUUGAUAUCUUCACCGGUAAAGUCAUCACAAUCCUUACCGGCAACUCCAUCAACUGAGAUUGUCACACAACUUUCACCAACAGUGUCAUCAGGUACCUCUAUUCCUCCGGCACGACCUGGGAAUUUGAGAAAUAUCCAACGGGUGGACUAUAGAGCUUUGGCAGAUCUUUAUAUUGCCCAAGCAAGUGUGGAAGAACCAACAACUAUAAAAAAGGCUCUGCAAUCACCCGAAUGGAGAUUGGCUAUGGAAGAAGAAUUAAAGGCAUUCUAUAAAAAUAAAACGUGGUUGCUUGUGGAACCUCCAAAAGGUGCAAAUGUUGUUACAUGCAAGUGGGUUUUCAAAGUCAAGAAAAAUUCUGAUGGUACCUUCAGUCGCCGAAAGGCAAGACUUGUUUUGUUGCUCAUGGGUUCAAUCAAGUAGAAGGAAUCGAUUUUCAAGAGACUUUUAGCACGGUGGUCAAGUUUACCAUAAUAAGGUUGAUUAUGGCUAUUGCAUUUUCAAAUGGUUGGAUGAUCAAACAGGUUGACGUAAACAAUGCAUUUUUACACGGUGACUUGCAUAAAAUAGUUUACAUGGACCAACCACCCGGAUACAAGAAUCAUACGUUUCCAGAACGUGUAUAUCGACUUCAUAGAUCAUUAUAUGGAGUUCGACAAUCUCCAAGAGUAUGGUACGAGAAGUUAAGGAUAUGUCUAAUUAAUGAGUUUUGGAUUUGUGUCAUCCAAAACGGACACGUCACUAUUUAUAUUCAGGAGAGAUGAAGUUACACUAUAUCUUUUGAUAUGCGUCGACGACAUCGUCGUCAUUGGGUCUUCGUCUAGUUUAAUUUCCAAAAUUAUUAAUUUCUUAGCAUCCAAGUUUUUCUUAGGUAUUGAAGUGAUCAGAAAUGACGGUGCAAUGCUUUAUACCCAAAAACAAUACAUCUUGGAUCUAUUGAAAAAAACAAAUAUGUUGUGUGCAAAGCCGCUUCCAACACCAAUGAUUUCAUCAAACACUUUGUUCGUAGAGUCGGGAAUGAAGUUAGAUGAUCCGUUUCUAUAUCGAUCUACUAUUGACGCCCUACAGUAUGUGCUACUUACUCAUCCGGAUCUAGCGUUUUUGGUGAAUAAAUUAUGUCAAUUUCUCCAUGCUCCUACGGAUACACAUUGGUAGGCCGUAAAAAGGGUUCUUCGUUAUUUGUGUGGAACAAUGGACUAUGGGCAAAGGUUUGUAAAAUCUCCUACAAUACAACUACAUGCGUAUACGGAUGCGGAUUGGGCAGGUUGUCCGGACGAUCGUCGCAGCACGGGAGGAUUUGCCAUUUUCUUAGGCCAUAAUUUGAUAUCAUGGUCCGCCCGGAAACAGAAAAUGGUGGCUCGGUCAUCGAGGGGAGCGGAGUAUCGAGCACUUGCAAACACGAUAGCUGAAAUCAUAUGGCUACGAUCAUUAAUGUUUGAAAUUGGUAUACCAUAAGUUGACCCGACCAUGUUAUGGUGUGAUAACAUUGGUGCAACAUAUCUUACUGUGAAUCCCGUCUUUCAUGCACGCACGAAACACAUGGAGAUCGACUUUCAUUUCGUUCGAGAAAUGGUUCGUCCGAAUCACCUCCAUGUUAGAUAUGUCUUGUCAAAUGACCAAAUUGCGGACUCUUUCACAAAACCUCUUCUCUUGGAUAAAUUUCAACUCCUUAGAAGCAAGCUUCCACUUUGUUCAACAAAGGCAUCAGCUUGAAGGAAGAUGUUUUAAUAUUACUGACUCGCUACAUGGCAGUUAGUGAGUGAGUCACUCAUAUUGGUAUAUAUGUAAAUAAACCUAGAUCUAAGGCUAGUUACAUCAUUUGUAUUUAACUUUAAUCCAUAAAUACAUUAAUGCCUUCCGGUGAGUUAAACACCGAGGCAAAAUCAACCCAAAUACAGUCUGCAAUCUUCCACUUCCGUCGUCCUCCAAAUCAUGUCAUCUUCCAAUGCAACUCCCGAGUCUUCUGUUGUGUCUCCCAAGCCAUCGAACAAACCCGUCCUGAAAAAUAUGAUUAGGUGGUCGGGACAACGGGCGAAGCAAGAAGAAGAAGAAAUUUAAGUUUUUUCCCGCCCCAAGACUAGUUCCGAAAAAUGGCCAUGACAAGGCGGUGGAAAAAUAUUUUUCGGGGGCAAAAAUUUGUCACCGGUGCGCGGUACGGGUUGCGGUGACCCUGACCCAUUCUCACCCGUAUCUACCCCGAUUUGGUCGGGUAGAAAAGCUUUGGGGUUCAUGUCGGGUAAAAAAACUUUUCUGGUAAAAAAAAUAUUUAUACGGUUAUACCCUACAAUGAUUUCGGGUGGAAUGUCUGAUAUCUUAAAUUUUAAACCCCAAAUGUUAAAUAUUAAAUCUCUAAAUUUAUUUCUCUCUUUAAACCCUAAAUCAUACUCUCACUAAAUCGAUUUUAUUUACAUUAGUAACAUUAUUGUUUAAAAAAAAUUUUAAAAAAAUUAUUAUUAUUUUGGCCGGGGCCGGGGAUGGUUUUUGAGCCCGGGUAUUUCCCCGUCCCUGAUCAAAAUGACUGGGUAUGGAGAAGGGGAACGCAAUCCCCGUCCCCGCUCACCCCUAUACCCUACCCAUGGCCAGCUCUAAUUCAGUCAUAGUAACUAAAUAUGGUAAUGGGCCAUGGCCUAAAGUGGUGAACUUCAUUAUGCUUAGGAAGGGCUCCAGAAUUGGGCCUUAUCAUUUUCAAACGUGAUAGAUGGACUUAAAUGUCAUAUAAAAAAUUGAAUAAUUUUUCGCUUUUAAAAUAGUACCACAUCGACCAUUUAACAAAACAUACAUUUGUUUAUAUAUGCUAAAUUUUAAAUUAUAUCAUUAUUGUUAGAUAACGAAGUGAUUCGUAUUUUCAUGUAUGUGGAAAGUCCCCGAGCCGUUUCUCAGAAAUGAGUUAUUGGAAACAAUAAAAGCAUUUCCAUUGCAUUGUGUUUGAAAUCCUGAAGUUGAGACGAGUUUGGAACUUGUGAUGGAUUGAUGCAGAUUGCUUUAUGGUGCUUACUUUGGCUAAUAGACAGUUAUUCACUUGGCUAUCGUUGAUGACUUCCAAAACGGGGCUUAUGAUUAUCUAACAUUAAUUUUUUCUUUUCCAAAGAAAAUUCCUGUAUCAUGGUCAAACAUUUAUUGAUAUCAUUUCUCAAAGUCUAAAAACAAUGGAGAAAACUUGCGUUAUCAGUUACACAAGAUUGAAUAAUUAGG